GACGAACGCUGGCGGCGUGCUUAACACAUGCAAGUCGAACGGAAAGGCCCUGCUUUUGUGGGGUGCUCGAGUGGCGAACGGGUGAGUAACACGUGAGUAGCCUGCCCUUGGCUUUGGGAUAACUUCAGGAAACUGGGGCUAAUACCGGAUAGGAGCUCCUGCUGCAUGGUGGGGGUUGGAAAGUUUCGGCGGUUGGGGAUGGACUCGCGGCUUAUCAGCUUGUUGGUGGGGUAGUGGCUUACCAAGGCUUUGACGGGUAGCCGGCCUGAGAGGGUGACCGGCCACAUUGGGACUGAGAUACGGCCCAGACUCCUACGGGAGGCAGCAGUGGGGAAUAUUGCACAAUGGGCGGAAGCCUGAUGCAGCAACGCCGCGUGCGGGAUGACGGCCUUCGGGUUGUAAACCGCUUUCGCCUGUGACGAAGCGUGAGUGACGGUAAUGGGUAAAGAAGCACCGGCUAACUACGUG
rnacentral:rRNA from 1 species